GAAGAACAGAUGAUCUAAGAAUGAACAUUUGCUGGAGUGAUCUCUCUGGGCUUAAAUAUUUAUUUUACUUCCUCCAGCCCCCUCCCGUUUUGUCAAAAUUUGAUGUUUGCCAAAAUCUACAAUAUGAAACUAUGGAAAGUUUAUGACAAAAUCACCUCAAAUUGCUACCAUAAAUUAUUACCUCCUACAUAGUCUUUUUUUCUGCAGUGUGCAAUUAAUCAAAGAAAACAACUUCUUCUUUCUAAUUAAGGAACUGGCUCUAAGAGUUUUAUUUUAGGUGUGAGAAGGGGUGUUGAUUUCUGGAAGAGUAUGUGGCAGUAAAAUACACUUGCAUUUCUGUCUCCAAGGUUUUGUACAUGAUUCCAAGAAAGGGAAAUCCCCUAUCUAAAUCCUCAGGGAAAAUGGGAAUCCAUUGUAAAAGAUUUUGAAGAUCUCCUUGAAAAAAACAGUGCAUCAAUGGAGAAGUCAUAUGGCAGAUUUUUGGAAAAUACAGCUCCAAAAAUCAUUGGAUCCCAAAUGGAGAGCUCCUCGGUGAAGAGAUGGGAGAUUAUUUUUUUCCAUUAACUCCUGCAGGGUCUUAUUGCCUCCUCUGAUGAGGAUCGUAUUGCCUAUUUUACAGAAUUCUUAGGUUUUUACCUCCUCAAUCAAUUAUGUCACCUGAAGAUCAUUUAUCACCGGUGUAAAGAUUUAUCUGUUUCUUUAUCUUUCUACCCAUUCAUUCUUCCAUCUACCAGUCUAUAUAAACAAUAAAUGAAUUUGUGUACCUGCCAAUGAAUGCUGUGUAAAGUCCAGAAUAUUCAAAUUCAAAUAGUAGAGAGAUGAUCUCUGUCACUGAAAGUCUCACAGCUCAGUCUACACAAGCAAAAUAACAUCUACUUCACUCUUUUGAAAACGUGGUGUGUCGGGACCCUUCCAAAAGCAUGUAAUGCUAUGAGAAUAAAACUAAUGUGCAGUGUGAGAUUUUCUCUGAUGCCAUUUCAAAUUACUCUUGUAGCCUCACCGGGCACCAAAGUUCCUCACAAGCCCCAUGCUUUUACUCAAACAUCUCUAGUACUUUGAUUUUAACAGGUUUGGUUGUUGCAGUUUUGUGUGUCCUCGAAUUUAUUUGUGCUAUUAGUCCUGAACAGACUUUCCCUGAUCCAGCUCUGAAAAUUUACCUCCUUCAGGGAAUUAUUUUAUUCUUUUAAAACCACAUCUGAUAGUGAUGUAAGGAUCUGUUAUAAACGUGUGUGUGUGUGUGUGUGUGUGUGUGUGUGUGUGUGAGAGACAGAGAGAGAGAGAGAGAGAGUGUAUACACAGAAUGGAUCACCAUCACUAUUCCAGUAAUAAUAAGGGAUUGGGGUCAUUGUACCUUGGAUUUUAGUGGGGAUGCAAUCAACUUUUGUAGGAUUUAAAAACUUUUGUAUAAAUUUAAAGCACUGAGCCAUGCAAGAGCUGAAGUGAGCUUGUUGUUUAUAACAUAUAUCACGAAAUGAAGAACAGAUGAUCUAAGAAUGAACAUUUGCUGGAGUGAUCUCUCUGGGCUUAAAGAAUGGAUCACAGAAUGGAUCACCAUCACUAUUCUAGUAAUAAUAAGGGAUUGGGGUCAUUGUACCUUGGAUUGGGACUGUAGAUCAUUCAUCAAGCCCUUUUAAAUUUUCUUUUGUUUUUGUACUCUUGCUGUACCUCUACCAAGGGCUCCAGCCUCACUUCUCUACAAGGAGCAUGGAGAAUUACCUAUCUGGUGUACAAAGUGGAUCACAUCACUCCUCUGGUUAAAAGCAGUCGAUGAGUUGCUGUAGACCUUUAGAACUACUGAACCAGAAACUGCAUUUUAACAGGAUAGCUAGAUGAUUUCUAUGUUCUUUAAAGUCUGAGAAACAUUGACUUAGAAGAUCUUUCAUCCUGAUUACCAUGAACUCAAUUUUCAGUCAGAAAUCACGAUUACAGAGCAAGAAUUCACACGUGAAAAAUAAAUCAUCUCAACACAGGGAGAACGCGACCAAGAGGCGGUACGGCAUGUGAACAUAGACAGCUCUCUCUCCAGCAGCAUCCUCGGAUAACUAGAUUUCAAUGUUUUACUUCAAAACUUUGAAAUGAAAAUAGUUGGUCUCUUUUCUAAAGCUAUGCUGUGAGGACAGGUGAGUCAUUGGACUGAGUGGACCCUCAGUUUUCCUUCUCUUUAGUCUCAUUCUUCAUUCCUUUUGGUCUAGGGCUUUAAUAUUCAUCUUAAAUGUCUUAAUGGGUCAUUCUUGGGGUAUGACAGUGCCUACUUCUGUGGCCAAAUUGGAGGUUGACAGCAGACAAACCGUGGUCUAUUUUUAACCUAUUUUUGUAUCUAUCAAGCCAAGAGGUCUGUCUGUAUCUUCUAGAGGUCCCUAAAAACUGAAGGAUGAGGUCAUGCAUGUGGAAUAGACCUAAGAAAAAGUGCUGCAUCUUGAGAUUGUCCCCUGUCUCACAGGGAUGUGAUGGACUCAGUGAGAAAAUGCAUGCACUAUUCUGGUUCCAUGGAGCACGAGCAGCACACGCAUUUGUGCUCUUGUGAUUUCUGUGCUAUAUAGCUAUAGCAGCCUAUGAUUUGUAAUGUAUUCAUUCACUUCUUCAUUAAUUUCCAUAGCAGACUUCACAUGGGCAGUGAUACAACACUGAAAAAACGUGUUUAAAACUAUUUUCCUGGAAAAAUAGCCAUCCAAUAACUAUUGUACAAUUGGACACAUACCACCACUAGGCUAUUAUGAUUUAUAUUUUCUUCUAGUGGGGAGGGAGAUGGUAACAAAGGGAAAAAUAAAAGAAAGAAGCUCAAGGUUUUUGUAUUCAAAUAACACCCACCUCCUAUCACUCAGCAUGCCGAAUGCGCCUCCCAACAUGCUGAAAUGUCUCUUGGAGUGACUGACCAGUGGAAUGGAUUUGAAUUUCUGUUAACUACAAAACUAAAAGUCAUUUUUUCUUAAUAAAAUCAUGGAUCAUAAAAAUCUAUUUUAAGAAACAUCAGCAAUCCAAAUCAACUUCCUCCAUGGCCAAUCACAUUGUGAAACACCACAAACAAUGGCUGUUCACUGAAUGUUUAAAGUUUGUUGUAAUUAGCAUGUUGCUUUCAGACACGCUCACAUAAAACAAUGCAUACUAAUUCAAUUAACAAAAACAUCUUGGAGGAGGUGGGGCAGCCCACACAGUCCAACAAGAGCUAAAUAGGCAGACUUUGAGAAACAUAACUUCUGCUCUGGUUUGGAAAGCAGGAGCUCAGUACUCUCCUUGGGUUGGGGCCAUCACAAAUAUUGGUGUCUCAAGAUUUCAUUCCUUGGGAGAGAGAAUAAUUGGUGUAGCCUGGAUCAGGCGCCUACUUUGCUGAUGGUGGUGGUGAUGGUGAAGGAAUUCUAGGGACCAGCAAACUUUCCUAUCCCAGACAUACAUUGAGCUAAGGUAGGACAAGUGUCCAAAGUGUCAUUGCUAGUUUGAGCUCCACUUUUUAAAGGUUAUACCAUCUGAAAAUAGUAGCAGGCUUGGUGACCAAGUCUCUGCUUGGUGACAUGAGCCUUUGGUAGACACCUCCAAAACAUAACAUCUUUGUUUUUUACUUUAUUUCUGAGUAAUAUAAUUUAUCUAAUUUAUUCAAGACUGUAUACUAAAUAAGCUUUUAAUCUUUCACACUAAUUUUUUGUGUCUAUCUUACAUGAUAGUAAAUAACACAUAAAUACUGCUCUAUUUGAGCUGAUCUGUUUCACUGGUCUGUUUGGUUUCAUUCCAAUGUCACAUUGCUGUAAAUUACUGUAGUUUUGCAGCAUACCUUAAUAUUUGAAAGAUUAAGUCUCUGGUUAUUUUUCCUUUUUUUUUUUUUUUUCAAAAUUGACCUAAUAGCCAACUGGCUUUUCACAUGGAAAGAAAUAAAAAUGUAUCCUACUGUAUAGGAAUAAAUUCCAGACAAAUAAUUCCAGAAAUGAUGAAAAGUAAAAGUUUGUUAAUAAUUCUAUGAGAAUAAAUGCACAACUAGAAAUUUAGUGCUUUAAUAGGAUAUAUAAAUAAUUGGCGCUAUAGAGAUUGAAAACUUGUAUAUGAAAAAACUUUCCAUAAAGUAUCAACAGGCAAUGAUUGGACACACACAAAAAAGAUACUUUUAACCCAUAUGACAAAGCAUUGUAUUAUUCAGAGAUUACAAACUCAAUUAGAUGGAUAUGAAAAAAUUGACAGCAAAAAAGUAAACUUAAAUAGCCAACAAAUGUGAAAAGAUGCAUCUAAUUAAAGACAGUCAAUCAACUGUAACCUCAUGCUCACUGAACAGGGAGGAUUACAGCAAGAAAGGAAGCGUGAUAUAUAUUAGUGGCAGGAAUAUUACAGUUUAUGGCAUUUUAAGAAGGAAAUCUGGCAAAAUGUAUGAAGUUUAAAAAUACAUAUUCUUUUCUAUUCAGUAUUUCUAUUCUGGGACAUUUCUGUUACAGAAAUAAAAGUACACAUCUUGCUCAUAAAAAUAAAAGUAUGAAGUUGUAUAAACUUGUGAAGGGAAAAGAUCUUCAAUGAUGCAUUGUUUAUACUUGCCAAAAAGCUGUAAUUUUCCUUUGAGAAGAAUGUAACUGAAUUAGGUUCAAACAUACGUAGUAUUCUACAGUCAUGAGAACAGUUUAGAGCAAUAGGCAUAUGUGUAUGAUAGGGUAUAUGAUCGUGAAUAGGAUGUAGAUAAGAAAACAGAUUGUGGGUAUGGAUACGUGAGACUGGGGAAGACAGAGGAGAAAGAUGUUCAUAAUAGAAAAGAAAAUAUGGUAUGAUUCCAACCGUGUAAAAUUAUGUAUUUAUAAAUGUAUAAAUUCAAGGGUGAACAGUCACUACGUAUUAAGAGUGAUUGACCAUCAUAAAAUAGUGAAAUUACAGGUGAAUUUAUUAACAUGUAUUCUAAUUUUUUCAGGGAACAUAUGUUUAAAUAAUCAGAAGAAAUAAUAAAAAGAUUGUCAUUGUAGAAAAUAAGUAUUGUCACUAAAAAUAGAAGAGCAAAUACAAAACAAAAAAUUGAUAUUUAUGAAUAUUUAUGCUUCCACAGACAUAUUGGGUAAAAUUUGGCAAGUUUGCAAAAUUAUACUACUAGGAUCUGUAUUGACAUCAUAUUGAAUAUCAAUAAAUGUCAAUGUAAUUACAUUGGAGAAAAAUCCUGUGCAGACUGAUAUCUCUAUAUUAUUAUAUUAUGUUCUCUAUAACAUUAUAUUAAAUUCAUUCAUUUCUACAUAUUAUCUUUAAAGGAGCUUAGGAAGUUUCUUCUUAUAGGCUUUGUUCAUCUUUUAUUAAGCAGUUUGUUUUCACUGUUAUUAUAAAUACUUUAUUUUCUGUUUUAUUUUCUGAUUUGUAAUUUAGAAAAACAUUUUUCACUUUUGUAAGUUUAUCUUGUAACUGUGCCAAAUUAUUCAUUAGUUCAUAUAAUAUUUUUAUUAUUUGAAAUGUUUCAUUUUAAAAGACCAAAUUUUAUGCUUAUUAACAUACAAUUUAUUAUCUAUUUUAAUUAUGGCAUUAAAGGGUAUUAAAUAUACAGUACUGUAUAAUCAUAACUAUAAUCCAGAACUGUUUUCAUCUUGCAAAACUGAAACUCUUUGCCUGUGAUACAGUAAUUACCUAUUUAUUUUCUUUUUCUCUAAACUCUGGCAACCAUCAUCCCAGUUUCUGGCUGUAAAUUUGUCUGUGCUAGGUAUCACAUAUAAGAGGGGAAUGCACUAUUCAACAUUUUGUAUUUACCAUUGCUCACGUCUAAAAAAUGCCUUUAAAUUUCAUCUGUAGUGUAACAUGAGUUAUAUUUUCUUUUUAAGUCCUAAUAAUAUUUCAUUGUGCAAUAGUUAAUCUGGAUUGUCAACUUGAUUGGCUUAAGAAUUGCCUAGGGGUUUAGUAAAACACACUUUUGAGUGUGCCCAUGUGGCUCACAGAAGCAAGAUUUGGGACUUUAUAUCUGGUUCCUGGUUCCUUCCUUUCAGGUGCUCUUCUUCUACCCUGCUUCCUAGCCACCAUGAAAGUGAACUUUGCUCUACCAUACCUUUUCAGUAUGUAUGCUAUUUCUGCCUUGAAGCCAUCCAGUUGUGGAUUGCACUCUUGAAAUCAUGAAUCAAAUAAACCAAUUCAUCUAUUAAGUUGUGAGUGUUGGGUAUUUUCUCCUGCAACAGGAAAGCUAAUAAACAUUGUAUUUAUAUACCACAUUCUCUGUUGCUUCAUCUGUUGAUAAAUACUUGAGUUGUUUCAAAGAGAAUAAAACUGAAAGAAAUAAAACAGAGUAGCGUCAAUGGAAACAAACAGGUGGAGGUGAUACAAGACUUCAAAACAAGAUAAAAGGAAAUCAAGAAUGGAUACUAUAAUGCCUAUUGCUAUCUUCAAAAUAACUGCCCACACCAUCAAACAAAACAGAACAGAAUAAAACCAAUCAAAACAAAACAAUGAAAGCAACACAGGACUUCCAAACAAGACAAUAGGGAUACAACAGUGGUUACUAUAAUGCAUCUUGUUAUCUUCAAAGCAGCUACUUAUACUAUGAGACACAAUAAAAUAAAAAAUAGAAUAAAAUCAAAAGAAAACAAAUAAAGCAAUAGGGGGCUUUGAAACAAGAUAAUAGGAAGUCAGUAAUGGCUGCCAUAAUACAUUUUGUUAUUUUUGAAAUAGCUGUCCAUGCCAUCAGAUAUAACAAAAUCAAAACAAAACAAUAAAACUAAACUAAAAAGAACAAUGAAAAAGAUACAGAGUUUCAAAACAGGACAAUAGAUUAACAAUGGCCACUGCCUUCUCUUUUUAGAUAUCCUCCCCUUUCACUUUCACAAUAUCUAUUGUGUGUAUUGUGCUUGUUAUUGUGAAUGAUGUUAUAAUGAAUGUGAGUACACAUAUAUCUGUCCAAGACUCUGCUUUCGAUUCUUACAUGUAUCUAAACAGAGGUAGAUUUGAUGGAUUGUAAGGUAACUAACUCUGUGUCAAUUUUUGAGAACCUGCCACACUAUUUCCCACAGUAGCUGCAUUGAAUUUGCAUUCCUACCAGCAGUGUACAGGGGUUGACAUGUCUCCACAUCCUUAUCAACAUUUGUCUUCAGUUUUUGUUUUAUUUUUUUGACAGUACCCAUCACACUAUGUGAGGUAAAUUGGUAUCUCAUUAUAGUUUUGGUUUACAUUUCCCAGUGAUUCCUGAGGUCUAACAUCUUUUCACGUGCUUAUUGGCCAAUUGUAUAUGUCUUUGAAUCAGGUUGCUUUUUUUGUCAUUGAAUUUUAGAGUUCUCUUUACAUAUUUUGGAUAUGAAUCCUUCAUCAGAUAAGAUUUACAAUUUUUUAAACCACUCUUUCCGUUGCCUCUUUUCUUCAUAUGAUUUGCAAAUACAUACUUUCUAAAGGCUACCUUAUUCCUUUGAUGAUAAUGUCUUUUGAUGCACAAACAUUUUAAAUUUUCCUGAAAUCCAGUAUUUCUCUUUUUCUUUGGCUGUCUUUUAUGUUAAUACUUUGCUCUGCUUUCCUGAGUUUUACCCUAAUGUCUUGUUCCCAACCAAGGGAUUUACUCACACUUUGGUUUUGUUACCUCACUUGGUUGUGACAGUCUUUAUAGGCUUUCAUUACUUCCAGUGAUCCUGGAAUUUUAAGGCAUUUUAAAGUAUAUGGCCUAGGAAUUUUGUAGAGAGUCAUUCAGUUGAGAUGUGUCUGAUAGCUCUCAUGAUUAGAUUGGAAAUGUCUUACUGGGAGAAAUACCACAGAAAUAAAGGACUAUUAUUAUCACAUUAUCAAGGGUAUCUAUUCUGAAAACAGCUUAUCAAUAUUGAUGUUAACUCGGUCAACUUGUUUGUCAAGUUUGGCCACCAUCAGGUUACCCCUUUUAUCUUCCUUUUCCGUAUUAUGCUUCUUGGAAGAAGUCAUUCACAACCCAAGGUUAAAGAGCGGAGAGAGAUGACCCACUUCUUCAGUGGUACAGUAUCAAUAUUAAUCAUUUGAAAUUCUGCAUGGGACACUUGCCUCAUCUCCAUUUAGUCAUUAAAUUGUCAGCUUAAAUCAGAAUGGAUUUUGCGAUACUUCUAUUUUAGGUCAUAAGCCAAUAUCAUUUAAAUUAUUUUAUUGCUAAAAUUAUUCUAAUUUUGGUUAUUUUGAAACUUUUAAACAUCAGUUUGGCAUUUUAACACAUGCCAUCCUUGGAGGUUUCUUAAUCUCUCUCUUUCUCCUCCCUCUCCUAUCUUCCCCUUCUCUUCCCUCACCAUUACAUCUCUUCCCUUCUUCUUUGAGCACUUUCUUAAUGUCCAGUGUUCCAAGAUACCCCAGGGUUAUUUUAUGUGUUUACUGGUAUAGCUCUAGAUCUAACUAUUUUUUUUAAAGGAGCCCAGUUCUUUUUACUGGAGAAUCAAGAUUCGGAUGCUAGGAUGUUGUGUUCUGAUGGCAUGUGAAAAGAUGUUAGACCUCAGGAAUCACUAGGAAAUGUAAACCAAAACUAUAAUGAGAUACCGAUUUACCUCACACAUAGUGUGAUGGCUACUGUCAAAAAAUGAAACAAAAACUCUUAGCAGACAGAGCAAGAAAUAUAUGUGUGUACACACACCUAUGAAAUAUUUCUGUGUGUAAUCUUCUGUUUCUAUAUUAAGCUAAGGUUGUGUCCAAUUCUAAACCAACACAUGGGUCAUUCUAGAAUGUGUUCCUUGCUUAUAAGUACACCUUACUUUAAUAAAUGAUGAA